AUGGCAUGCCUGCACGAUCACGAGUGUGGGGAUCACAACUGCGCCGCCGAUUGGUCGCUCUACAAUCACAUCGACAUCCCCAAGGUGGUGGCUCUGAACGAAUCUGUGGCCGGGAGCGUCAAAUCGGUCUUCAAGUCGUGGGACCAGCGCCUCGAGACUUCCGUGGGUUUUCUGGAGAGCAAUGAGGGUGACCCUGAGUUACUUGUUUUCAUCCCAUUUACCUCAGAUGUGAAGAUCAAGAGCAUCGCUGUUGUUGGUGGUGCUGAUGGAACAAGUCCUUCAAGAAUGAGAGCAUUUAUCAAUAGAGAAGGUAUUGACUUUUCUGAUGCUCAAAACAUGCAGCCUGUGCAGGAAUGGGAACUGGCAGAGAAUUUGCAGGGAGUUCUUGAGUAUCAAACCAGGUAUUCAAGGUUCCAAGGUGUGGCCAACUUAACUCUGCAUUUUCCUGAUAACUUUGGUGGUGAUACGACUAAGAUAUAUUACAUUGGUUUGCGUGGUGAAGCUACUCAGAACAAAAGGGAUGUUGUGGCCACAAUUGUGUAUGAAGUAAUGCCCAAUCCAUCUGAUCACAAAACAAAAUCCGAGACUGGAGGUGGUUUCUCACAUGUUGAGUAG
rnacentral:rRNA from 1 species